UGGCUGCUCAUUGGCCCUGUGAA
rnacentral:misc_RNA from 1 species